rnacentral:lncRNA from 1 species
GAUGUGUGUGUGUGAUAGACAACACAUAGUGUGAGAGAGAGAUCAAACAAAGACAUGUUUCACAAGGUAUUAAUGUUAUAUAAGAAAAGACAUGUUUCAUAAGACAAAAAUCCUCAAUAAAUGACUGUUUUGUUCAGAAACAGUGAGAAUGGAAAAAGGCAACACAAAAGGUAACCGCAGGGUGUGGUAGGGAUGGUAGUAAACGCAAGGUGUGGUAGGGAUGGUAGUAAACGCAAGGUGUGGUAGGGAUGGUAGUAAACGCAAGGUGUGGUAGGGAUGGUAGUAAACGCAAGGUGUGGUAGGGAUGGUAACAGAAGGGUGUGGUAGGGAUGGUAAUCACAAGGUGUGGUAGGGAUGGUAACCACAAGGUGUGGUAGGGAUGGUAACCACAAG